CCUACGUGUGGCAGCAGUAGGGAAUCUUCCACAAUGGGCGAAAGCCUGAUGGAGCAACGCCGCGUGGGUGAAGAAGGUCUUCGGAUCGUAAAACCCUUUUGUUCGAGAAGAAAGUGCGUGAGCUUAACUGCUCACGUUUCGACGGUAUCUAACCAGAAAGCCACGGCUAACUACGUGCCAGCAGCCGCGGUAAUACGUAGGUGGCAAGCGUUAUCCGGAUUUAUUGGGCGUAAAGGGAACGCAGGCGGUCUUUUAAGUCUGAUGUGAAAGCCCUCGGCUUAACCGGGGUAGUGCAUUGGAAACUGGGAGGCUUGAGUGCAGAAGAGGGGAGUGGAACUCCAGGUGUAGCGGUGAAAUGCGUAGAUAUCGGGAAGAACACCGGUGGCGAAGGCGGCGCUCUGGUCUGUAACUGACGCUGAGGUUCGAAAGCGUGGGUAGCAAACAGGAUUAGAUACCCGAGUAGUC
rnacentral:rRNA from 1 species